UGAGACUGCUAGAACGUCCACUUGCUUUCAGACCAAAGAACAAACUCACCUUCGUUGUCAUCUACGACACUUCCGAGCACCUACUCAUCUUGUUGGACGUCAAGGAUACCAGGAAACAGAAGCCGCUUUCUGCUCCGGGACAACAGUGUACCUUUACUGUAUUGCCUCAGGCUAUGUCAACUCUCCUGCACCUGCUCAUAAUGUAGUCUAGAAGGACCCCGGCACACCAAGCUGAUCCAUUUCAUGUUUUCAUCAUGCUAAUUGGACCUGGUGGGCCCGAAGGCAUCUAGCAAGUAGAUGCCUUACUUAGGAAGCAUGCCAGAGGAUGGAAGAUGAUACAACUGAGGCCUAGCAAGGUCACACAACCAGUAAAUAUCAGAGCUGUAUUUCAAAUCCAGGAGAAAUAAAAUCCAUGGAGGAGGAAAACAAAAUCCCCUAAGGGACACCGAGGAAACUCAGGGCUUUUCCUGAACCCUGAACUAAAAUGAAAAAGACAGUCCCGGGUUGACCCCAAGACAGGAACGCUAGCACGGGUGAACCUUCGUUAAGCAUUUGCCAUGUGACAGAUGCAUGUGGUCCCACAGCCAGAGAGGAGAGCCAACUGCACACACAUGCAUGUGGCUGGGAUUAAUCCUAGCCAGCCCCAGGACCACCACCGGCAGCUCCUCAGACGACUCAGCUGGAGUUUGGGAAACUGAGCAAUGUCUGCAAUGUAAGGAAUCCAAUCCACCCGACCCUUAUAGACCCAGUCAGAAGGCAGCAGCUGGGGGUGAAGCCUUUGGGAAGAUUUGCUCAAGUAUGCUGGGCACGGGUUUGUCUUCCACUGACACCCUCGCACAGAGCAGGCCCUGGAAGUAGCCAGAAGGAAGGCCGGCCGAGCUCUGCGGGUACGGAAGACGGACCUCUGCAUGGGAGGCUGCAGAAACUAUGGGGUGGCAUGCAUCUGAAUCGUCAGCUCAGGACAGCAGCAAGUGUGCUGAGGAAGAGAAGCAGCCUGCUGUGGCAGGCCGAAGGUCAACAGCGUGGCUGCACCCCCGACAGGCUGGGUGAUCUCACCAGGUCAUUCCCCUUUUCUGACCUCAGCUUCCUUGUCCGCAAAAAACGAGACGGCUGGUCUAAAUCUGUUGAUUGGGAUUUGUUUCUUCUUCUUGCAAUAAAAUUCAUGUAACAUAAAAUUUGUGGUUGCUGACAUCUGGCACAUUCCCUGUGUGGUGCAACCAUCACCACUCUCUAGUUGCAAGGCAUCUUCCUCACCCCAA